rnacentral:rRNA from 1 species
CAUGCAAGUCGAACGGUGACGAGGAGCUUGCUCCUCUGAUCAGUGGCGAACGGGUGAGUAACACGUGAGCAACCUGCCCCAGACUCUGGGAUAACAGUUGGAAACAGCUGCUAAUACCGGAUACGAGACGGAGAGGCAUCUCUACCGUCUGGAAAGUUUUUCGGUCUGGGAUGGACUCGCGGCCUGUCAGCUAGUUGGUGAGGUAAUGGCUCACCAAGGCGACGACGGGUAGCCGGCCUGAGAGGGCGACCGGCCACACUGGGACUGAGACACGGNCCAGACUCCUACGGGAGGCAGCAGUGGNGAAUAUUGCACAAUGGGCGNAAAGCCUGAUGCAGCGACGCCGCGUGAGGGAUGACGGCCUUCGGGUUGUAAACCUCUUUCAGCAGGGAAGAAGCGAAAGUGACGGUACCUGCAGAAGAAGCACCGGCUAACUACGUGCCAGCAGCCGCGGUAAUACGUAGGGUGCGAGCGUUGUCCGGAAUUAUUGGGCGUAAAGAGCUUGUAGGCGGUUUGUCGCGUCUGCAGUGAAAAUCCGAGGCUCAACCUCGGACUUGCUGUGGGUACGGGCAGACUAGAGUAUGGUAGGGGAGACCGGAAUUCCUGGUGUAGCGGUGGAAUGCGCAGAUAUCAGGAGGAACACCGAUGGCGAAGGCAGGUCUCUGGGCCAUAACUGACGCUGAGAAGCGAAAGCAUNGGGAGCGAACAGGAUUAGAUACCCUGGUAGUCCAUGCCGUAAACGUUGGGCGCUAGGUGUGGGGCUCAUUCCACGAGCUCCCUGCCGCAGCUAACGCAUUAAGCGCCCCGCCUGGGGAGUACGGCCGCAAGGCUAAAACUCAAAGGAAUUGACGGGGGCCCGCACAAGCGGCGGAGCAUGCGGAUUAAUUCGAUGCAACGCGAAGAACCUUACCAAGGCUUGACAUAUACCGGAAACAUCCAGAGAUGGGUGCCCCGCAAGGUCGGUAUACAGGUGGUGCAUGGUUGUCGUCAGCUCGUGUCGUGAGAUGUUGGGUUAAGUCCCGCAACGAGCGCAACCCUCGUUCUAUGUUGCAGCGCGUAAUGGSCGGGGACUCAUAGGAGACUGCCGGGGUCAACUCGGAGGAAGGUGGGGAUGACGUCAAAUCAUCAUGCCCCUUAUGUCUUGGGNUUCACGCAUGCUACAAUGGCCGGUACANAGGGCUGCGAUACCGUGAGGUGGAGCGAAUCCCAAAAUACCGGUCUCAGUUCGGAUUGGCGUCUGCAACUCGACCCCAUGAAGUCGGAGUCGCUAGUAAUCGCAGAUCAGCAACGCUGCGGUGAAUACGUUCCCGGGCCUUGUACACACCGCCCGUCAAGUCACGAAAGUCGGUAAUACCCGAAGCCGGUGGCCCAACCCUUGUGGAGGGAGCCGUCCGAAGGUGGGACUG